rnacentral:tRNA from 1 species
GGGGUUGUGGCUAAGUGGUAGAGCACUCACCUAGCAUGUGUGAGGCACUGGGUUCAAUCCUCAGCACUA